AUUGAACGCUGGCGGCAGGCCUAACACAUGCAAGUCGAGCGAGCGGCGGACGGGUGAGUAAUGUCUGGGAAACUGCCUGAUGGAGGGGGAUAACUACUGGAAACGGUAGCUAAUACCGCAUACCAUCAGAUGUGCCCAGAUGGGAUUAGCUAGUAGGUGGGGUAACGGCCCACCUAGGAGACGAUCCCUAGCUGGGCUGAGAGGAUGACCAGCCACACUGGAACGUAGACACCGUCCAGACACCUACGGGAGGCAUCAGUGGGAAAUAUUGCACAAUGGGGGCAAGCCUGAUGCAGCCAUGCCGCGUGUGUGAAGAAGGCCUUCGAGUUGUAAAGCACUUUCAGCGGGGAGUCGUUACCCGCAGAAGAAGCACCGGCUAACUCCGUGCCAGCAGCCGCGGUAAUAC
rnacentral:rRNA from 1 species